CCUACGGGAGGCAGCAGUGAGGAAUAUUGGUCAAUGGACGAGAGUCUGAACCAGCCAAGUAGCGUGAAGGAUGACUGCCCUAUGGGUUGUAAACUUCUUUUAUAUGGGAAUAAAAUGUUCCACGUGUGGGAUUUUGUAUGUACCAUAUGAUGAAGGAUCGGCUAACUCCGUGCCAGCAGCCGCGGUAAUACGGAGGAUUCGAGCGUUAUCCGGAUUUAUUGGGUUUAAAGGGAGCGUAGGUGGAUGUUUAAGUCAGUUGUGAAAGUUUGCGGCUCAACCGUAAAAUUGCCGUUGAAACUGGCAGUCGUGAGUACAGUAGAGGUGGGCGGAAUGCGUGGUGUAGCGGUGACAUGCUUAGAUAUCACGAAGAACUCCGAUUGCGAAGGCAGCUCACUGGACUGCAACUGACACUGAGGCUCGAAAGUGUGGGUAUCAAACAGGAUUAGAUACCCUUGUAGUC
rnacentral:rRNA from 1 species